GGUGAGAAGGACUGGAAGGAGUACUGCUGGGCAGCACUCUAAUGUACAUCACCUCCCACGAUCCUUGGGACCAGGUACAGUGUCUAGUAUAGUGGGUAGUACAUCUGUGGUUUUAUUCCGUCCCUGGGACUGAAAGUUAAGAGGGUGGGCUUUUGGGUUUAGUUCAUCGUCGGGGCGACGAUGCAGAAGCCGGGGGUGGAUUGUGACAGAAUGAAUGAGGUUCAGGUGGUGAUUGACACUCCUGACCACCAAUCAGUAGCGAGCAGGCACUAUUUAGAGUGGGUUGGUUUGAGCCUGGCAUGUGUCACGCCCGGAUCCUCCCCUUUUGCGGUUGCUAAAGACAUUUCGGGUAUGUGCUGCUAGUAUGUAGCGUUGGCUAAUAAGUUUUUCUUUGCUCAUUGCACUAAUGGCUCAUGUGUGUAUCCUUAGCCUGUCUUUUCAGUGUGUCCCUGUUGGAUGCUGCUUUGGAUCUGUUUAUUGCCCUCCCUGCAGUUUAACAGCAGGUUAUUUGAAGGCUGCGUAUCCUGAGCGGUGAAUUGAUUCUCAGGAACUUAUCUAUCCGCGUUUGGAUCCUCCUUUUUCGUCCUGGGUGAUUAUUGCUGCGAUUCGACUUUUCCUCGCUGCGUGCCGAGUGAACAACCUCGGCUUACAACUAUUUAAAAGGGAAUUCUGCUGCUGCCAUUUGGCUUCUGUGAUUUGUUUUAACCGGUAUUGUCUGGUCUACUGUGGGGUCGAGCAACGUGCAAGUAUCGGGGCUGGCUUGAAGACGACGUGGCCGCUCCUUUUGGGAGCUGGGGUCCCACGGGUGAAAGGUCUUUGGUGGUGCUAUUUCUACAUUUGCUGUACGACAC